GAUGAACGCUGGCGGCGUGCCUAAUACAUGCAAGUCGAGCGAACAGAUGAGGAGCUUGCUCCUCUGACGUUAGCGGCGGACGGGUGAGUAACACGUGGAUAACCUACCUAUAAGACUGGGAUAACUUCGGGAAGCCGGAGCUAAUACCGGAUAAUAUAUUGAACCGCAUGGUUCAAUAGUGAAAGACGGUUUUGCUGUCACUUAUAGAUGGAUCCGCGCCGCAUUAGCUAGUUGGUAAGGUAACGGCUUACCAAGGCAACGAUGCGUAGCCGACCUGAGAGGGUGAUCGGCCACACUGGAACCGAGACACGGUCCAGACUCCUACGGGAGGCAGCAGCAGGGAAUCUUCCGCAAUGGGCGAAAGCCUGACGGAGCAACGCCGCGUGAGUGAUGAAGGUCUUCGGAUCGUAAAACUCUGUUAUUAGGGAAGAACAAAUGUGUAAGUAACUAUGCACGUCUUGACGGUACCUAAUCAGAAAGCCACGGCUAACUACGUG
rnacentral:rRNA from 1 species